ACGGGGUAGUAAUGUGUCGGAACGUGCCCAGAGGACGGGGAUAGCGGCGGGAAGCUGCCGGUAAUACCCGAUGAUCUCGAGAGAGCAAAGGUGUGAUUCCGCCUUUGGAGCGGCCGACAUGGUAUUAGCUAGUUGGCGGGGUAACGGCCCACCAAGGCUGUGAUGCCUAGGGGAUGUGAGAGCAUGAUCCCCACCAUUGGGACUGAGACACUGCCCAGACACCUACGGGUGGCUGCAGUCGAGAAUCUUCGUCAAUGGGCGAAAGCCUGAACGAGCGACGCCGCGUGCGGGAUGAAGGCCCUUGGGUUGUAAACCGCUGUCGAGGGGGAUGAAGGCUGGAAGGUACUCCUUCCAGUUUGACAGAGCCCUGGAGGAAGCACGGGCUAAGUUCGUGCCAGCAGCCGCGGUAAUACGAACUGUGCGAACGUUAUUCGGAAUCACUGGGCUUACAGGGUGCGUAGGCGGCUAUUCAGGUCAGGUGUGAAAGCCCUCGGCUCAACCGAGGAACUGCGCUUGAAACCGGAUGGCUCGAGUCAACUAGAGGUGCACGGAACUUCCAGUGGAGCGGUGAAAUGUGUUGA
rnacentral:rRNA from 1 species